AAUAGAUGACGUCGUUGACUUUUUCUCAAUGUUUGACCAUUCGUCUUAUUCAAAAUAUUUACGUAAUAAUAAUUUAUUUUGUUACGAGUUGUUUUAUCACUCACAGUACUUUAAGUGUGAUUUAUAUCUUAUACAUUUGCAUAAAAUUUUUGAAUAAGACGAAUGGUCAAACAUGUGAGAAAAAAAUCAACGGUGUCAUUUAUU
rnacentral:pre_miRNA from 1 species